UGCACUCCAACCUGGGCGACUGAGCUGGACUUAAAAAAAAGGUAAGUAAGCCUUCAAGUCUAUCCAAUCUUAAUUUGUAAUCUCAAAUGGAUGUCCAUAUUAACAAAAUUUUCUUGUUUUUCCUGUUUGUGUCUUUUUAGUUUAAUCUUCUUGUCCUUGACACUGAAAUUUUUUUCUCUCCAACAACUUGCCGUCGUUUCUCGGAAUAGAGCUGCUUUCUCUGCAGGAAGGGUGUAGUUGAUUCAACCGCCACCCACUCACGCCAGCCCCGAAACGGAGGUCUCGCUAUGCCGCCCAGGGUAGAAUGUGCUCUCUCCCUCUCCUCUUCCUAGUAUCUGGGACUACAGAUUCCAUUUCGGAUGCCCCCAUGAGGACUGUGCGCUCCUGUACUGGAACUCAAGCGACCACUUGGCUCAAAAUCCAUUGCUAUUCUCUAGAAAUCCAGCCCAAUUCUCUUGGUUAAAGAUAAGGCUGGAGUGCAUUGGCACGAUCUCGUCUCACUGCAACCUCC